rnacentral:lncRNA from 1 species
GCAAAUCUAAAAAGUAAUGAUGUGGCAUUUCGUCAAAUGUUAAAGAAAGAGUUUCCAAAUAUCUCCAAAAGAACUUUGGACUUAAUUAUCCCCAGAACUCCUAAAGAUAAUAAACAAAUGACAAUAGGAAAAAUAUAUUCUGCUAAACUUAUGUGGGAGAACUACAAAAGUAUGCGAAAUCGUGGUCAAAGAAGGAAAUCAGUAUAUGUUACCGAAACUCUUACGACCGAAGACGACGUCUAAAAUAUAUGGAGCAAAUUAUGCUUAAGAAUUGCACACUUUAUGAUAAUCUGUUUGCAUUUCGUUAAAAUUCCAUUUCAUUGAUUUGAAUAAGUUUGUAAAAUUUGUGAAAUUUUAAAUAAUCAAAUAAAAUGCGUGUGUUAUAAAUAUGUUUAAUCAAAUAAAAUGUGUGUGUUAUAAAUUGUAUUUAAAAGUUUAUUAGAUUGUAUUAAUUUGUAUAUUGCAGUUAAUAUCAUGUAUUUAUACUCUUGU